UUAUGGCGUCAGGAUUAACGCUGGCGGCAUGCCUAACACAUGCAAGUCGAAUGUUGCCCGCAAGGGAAAACAUGGCGAACGGCUGAGUAACACGUGGGUACUACCUUUUGAGUUCCGCAUAACCUGCCGAAAGGCAGGAUAAUUCGGGAUAUUCUCGCAAGAGGAAAGAUUUAUCGCUCAAAGAGAGGCCUGCGCCCGAUUAGCUUGUUGGUGAGGUAACGGCUUACCAAGGCACUGAUCGGUAGGGGCUUGAGAGGGUGACCCCCCAGACUGGGACUGAGACACGGCCCAGACUCCUACGGGAGGCAGCAGUGAGGGAUUUUCCACAAUGGACGAAAGUCUGAUUGGAGCAAUGCCGCGUGAAGGAAGAAGGUUUUCGGAUUGUAAACUUCUUUUAUAGGGGACGAUUAUGACGGUACCCUAUGAAUAAGGCGCUGCUAACUACGUGCCAGCAGCUGC
rnacentral:rRNA from 1 species